AUUGCUGCUACCAAUUUUGUCCUUUCACUGGAAAUUUCCUGACAGAUGGCAAACCUUCUCUGAUUUUGUGGAAGAAAGGGGAAAUAAGCGACUGAAUGACCAAAGUGAACUUGAAGUAUGUUGCAUCACUUGAGAAAAAUCUAUAAAAUCUACCUCAGAGCCGUCGAUCGGAUGAUUCACAACUCAGAUGAAAAUAAGAGCGAGUGAAAUCACAGCAUCGAACAGUUUACUCAAAAACUCUUUUAGCCUGGAAAUUAUCCACAAGAGUCCCUAAGAUGCAUAAUGGAAUUGCAAGCUAAAGCCAAGGCAUACCCAUUCAAAUGUGACUCACUCUGCAGCCUGGGCCAGUGUCUGUCUCAGUUCAGGAAGAGGUGAAUGGGGCAGUGAUAGCUCUCAGUCUCAUAAAACACUUCAAGAACUUCCUGUGAAAAGGAGUAGCUCUGUUGCUACAGUCUCUUACCUGCCUCCUUCCUAGCCCAGUAACAUAGGAAGAGCAAAGGACAAAAGCCCUGCAGAAAACAAACUCCUCCUGCUCAGCAUCUAUUCAUACCAGAUGUUGGAACCCCCACCCAUACCUUGCUGACACAUCUGAUAAAAGUGGAAGUUACAAGAGUACUUUGUGGUCUGCUCUGGGUGAGCCAAAGUGCCUUGGCUCUGGCUGGUGCACGAUCAAACCCUCGGCAGGGAACAGCGUCAAGGUAAGAGCAGCAAGUGCACUGGAAAACACAGAAUGCAGACACUGUAGAAUCAGCUCUGUUUCCUGCUUGACUCAGCCUUUGUUUUUAAUUUGGUAUUGUCAUCCUCUUGUUUACACUGAUACAGACCUAGUCUGGAGAAACCAAUCCAUGAUUUCCAAACAGCUAAUGCAUUCAUUCCAUCAUGGGUCAUAAUCCCACGCUUGAUUGAUACACCAUGGCCUAUAACAGUCAUAGCAGUGUGUGGAAUUGCACCCAUUUCUCGGUUUGUUUGUCUCAGACAGUGCCACAAAGGUGAAUGUGGAUGGUGGUAACAAAGCACUGGGGUGAACUGACGCAACGUGAUUGGUCUCAGUUGCAAUAUCACAGUUUCAUAAUGCAGAAGGCUUUGAAGAACCAAACAGACCCCAGACAUCCUGUGAAGCACAGCUGCAGGUCAGAGCUGGGAAAGCUUUGUUGGCCACAGGGAGACACCCAGAGCAAUGCACCCAGGUAUACAGGCUGGGUAGAGACAGAUGCAAAGGGUCUGAUACUGACAAGUAUUACUCGAUAGAAAGAACAACCUCAGGACAAGGGAAGGAGCACCAUCUGGUGGAAAACAGGUCAAAAUUAAAAGCAGUGAUUCUCCUGAUCUUUUCUUUAUCAUCACCUGGCAAAGAACAAAGGAAUUACUAUUGUCUCUAACUCACUUUGUACAACUGAUUUACUCUUCACGGAAUAUCAGAACUGUCUCAAUGUAUGUAAUCUGUGCAGCUCAUCACAUGACUUAAAAACGUGUCCAUGAGUCUGGGGAAGCUUGAAGUUUUAGGACAGUUUUGAUUUCAAUUCUUAAGCAGAAUCAGAUCCAGUCCUGCAGGUGGCUUUAUUCCUGAAGUGCUGGGCUAUGCUGCUGUUGGAGCCUCCUGCUCCCCUGGCUCCCCAGACCUACUUCUGGACUUAAGUGCUGCAUCAGGAGUAAUCACCUACCUAAAACACUUGUUGAAAAGAAGAAAAUCACCUUAAAAGGCUGGAACAGGAGAGGUCUGAAUUCUAUGUUUUCCUCCAUCCUCAGCUAUUCACUAUCAUCCUGCCAGGUAUCUUCACACAUCAAGCUGUACUUUUAAGAACAAUCCUGGCAUGUUCCUGUCACAAGGAGAUGUACUGGCUCUUAUGUUCUUGUAUGGUGGUAUAAAAUUCUACCUGCCCUUUCCUUUUUCUCUAAAAAACCCUGAAGUCUUUCAUCGACCCUUUGGCUUUGGCUGAUCUUUCCCUCCUCAGUGGCAUAAUACCUCGAUCAAGUUCAUCACUUACAAGGCAGCAAAGCUCCCUGAAUUCUUUGCUCUGAUAUGAGACACAAAAUAUGAGCACAUGUGAAGGUGAGGUCUCAGUGUCAGCACCUUCAAAACGCUCAUCAAACACAACAGUGCUACAAGGGGCUGUGAAAUAUUUGAAAAGAAUGAUCUGAGUCUCUCCAAAACCAAAGCAAGGACAGAAACUGGAUCAGAUGAGUGCUGUUCCAUGAAUGAAACGUGUAAUCUCAUUUAUAUGACAGUACAAGUAUUGCCAGAGAAGAUAUUUCUCAAAAUCAGAUGGAAGUUUCAAGCCCAAUGGACAAAGUAUUUCAAGGUUAUUCACUGUACCCGUGGAUUGGCAGAAUAAAGACUUCUCUUUCAUGUUACCUUUAGAUAGAAGAUCAACGAGCAAUCCAACACUCUUGUAGACAGAAAAGCAAUGUCGUGAACUUUUCACUUGUAUGGGAAACACAGACAAAGGAAGGU